GGGUGCUCACUUCAGCAACUCAUAUAUUAAAAUUGGAACAAUGCAGAGAAGGUUAGCAUGGCUCCUGUGCAAGGAUGACAUGCAGAUUUGUGAAGCAUUCCAUAUUUUU